rnacentral:rRNA from 1 species
UGGGGAAUCUUGCGCAAUGGCCGAAAGGCUGACGCAGCGACGCCGCGUGUGGGAGGAAGCUCUUCGGGGUGUAAACCACUGUUGCCCGGGACGAACGAUGAGCAUUUGCUCAUGUGACGGUACCGGGUGAGGAAGCACCGGCUAACUCUGUGCCAGCAGCCGCGGUAAUACAGAGGGUGCGAGCGUUGUCCGGAAUCACUGGGCGUAAAGGGCGCGUAGGCGGCUCGGUAAGCGUGCGGUGAAAGCCCGGGGCUCAACCCCGGGUCGGCCGUGCGAACUGCAGAGCUGGAGCACUGUAGAGGCAGGUGGAAUUCCGGGUGUAGCGGUGGAAUGCGUAGAGAUCCGGAAGAACACCGGUGGCGAAGGCGGCCUGCUGGGCAGUUGCUGACGCUGAGGCGCGACAGCGUGGGGAGCAAACAGGAUUAGAUACCCCCGUAGUCC